rnacentral:rRNA from 1 species
UACGUAGGGGGCAAGCGUUGUCCGGAUUUAUUGGGCGUAAAGAGCGUGUAGGCGGUUAUACAGGUCCGUUGUGAAAACUCGAGGCUCAACCUCGAGACGUCGAUGGAAACCGUAUGGCUAGAGUCCGGAAGAGGAGAGCGGAAUUCCUGGUGUAGCGGUGAAAUGCGCAGAUAUCAGGAAGAACACCCGUGGCGAAGGCGGCUCUCUGGGACGGUACUGACGCUGAGACGCGAAAGCGUGGGGAGCGAACAGGAUUAGAUACCCUGGUAGUCCACGCCGUAAACGAUGGGUGCUAGGUGUGGGAGGUGUCGACUCCUCCCGUGCCGCAGCUAACGCAUUAAGCACCCCGCCUGGGGAGUACGGCCGCAAGGCUAAA